UACGUAGGGUGCGAGCGUUAAUCGGAAUUACUGGGCGUAAAGCGUGCGCAGGCGGUUGGCAAAGUCAGCUGUGAAAGCCCCGGGCUCAACCUGGGAAUGGCGGUUGAAACUAGUUGACUCGAAUCUGGCAGAGGGGGGUGGAAUUCCACGUGUAGCAGUGAAAUGCGUAGAGAUGUGGAGGAACACCGAUGGCGAAGGCAGCCCCCUGGGCUGAGAUUGACGCUCAGGCACGAAAGCGUGGGGAGCAAACAGG
rnacentral:rRNA from 1 species